rnacentral:lncRNA from 1 species
GUGUGUAGUAGGAGUUGUGUCAUGUGCUUCAUUUAGUUUUUGAAGGCUUGAUGCUUUUAUUGGUCAGCAUGGGUGGUGGGUGAUUCAUCAUCGCCCUAAACACUGGUCACACUCUCCUGUAAUUAUUUACCACUAAACCCACACAUAUCAUCCAAUUUCAGUUUCCCUGGAAGCAGAGCAACGACCCCGGCGAGCCCUCACUUUCACGGUGGCACAAUACGGUUUGUAAUCUCCACGAAUCAGAACCAGAAGGAGGUACGCCGACGACGAUGCAAACGGUGGCCCUCAUUCUUAGCGGCGAUGAGUGAUUAUUGUUACCUAAGGGAAGGUGUUCUUACCCGAAGCAUCUUGGAGAUCCUUGGUUAUUUGUUAUCCAAAAACCCUAAACUCUUAAACGAAUCUUAAUUUGACCAACGCCGCCGCCAGUACCUCUGUCCACAACAGUCACCACCGUCACAUACCGUCUCGACACAAUGCCAACAUUGCAAUGGCGCACUAAAGGUCAGUAACUACUACUCCUUUGAGGUUGUUCUAUAUUUGCAGGCCACACUUUGAUCAAAACUGGUAGCUUAGACAAGAGCUUUGAAGGUAAACCGCCAUUACAAUGGCUAAUAAGCAGUAAUUCAAUACCCACUUUAGAUGAAUUUAAGGUUCAAUUCCAUUGGAGUUUCCAGAAGUUCCACGAGUUAUAAUCCUCCUGCUAAUGAAACAUUAAAAACGAUAGGCGUGAACAUAAAGAAAAGCUACCGUAAAAAGUUUUUAAGGUGAAGAUUUUUAAACCUCUUCAUCAAGAACCAACAUCUCCAAGAGUCCAUAUCACCAACAAAAAGGUAUGCAACUUUUAGCUUUUAACAAAGUAUGAUGUUUAGCUUCAUGCUAAUGGGAAAUAAAGGCAAACAAUGUUUGUAUUUGAAACUUUUCUUUAAUAUCAUGGUAAGAAAGAUCUUUAAAACAUGCAAAAA